UACGUAGGGGGCUAGCGUUAUCCGGAUUUAUUGGGCGUAAAGAGCGUGUAGGCGGCCAGGUAGGUCUGCUGUGAAAACUCGAGGCUCAACCUCGAGACGUCGGCGGAAACCAUCUGGCUAGAGUCCGGAAGAGGAGAGUGGAAUUCCUGGUGUAGCGGUGAAAUGCGCAGAUAUCAGGAAGAACACCCGUGGCGAAGGCGGCUCGCUGGGACGUUACUGACGCUGAGACGCGAAAGCGUGGGGAGCAAACAGG
rnacentral:rRNA from 1 species